UUUUACCAAUUCUAACUCUGUGCAAUGGAGCACACGGCUCGUGCAUCGAUGAAGCCCGCGGCAAAAAGCGAUAUGUAAUGAGAUUCGUUAGCUUCGAGAUUCAUCAAAUUGGUGAACACAUACUGGACCUCUUCGGAGGUACUUGCGUUAGAGUGCUAGUUUUAUAUCAAUUGAUCCUGGUAAAAGGUGUAUUAUCAUUAGAUUUUACGCUCUAGCUGGUGACGCCGGAUUCUCUGAAUCCGGAUUGACCAAAGAGAUGCAAAUCUCAAUGGCCAAUCUUUAUUAUAACUAGCCUCUAAUGUGAGAGGGUACCCCCUGGAUUUAAGCAUAUUAAUAAGGGGAGGAAAAGAAAUCAACAGAGAUUCUCCUAGUACCUGCGAGGGAAAAGAGAAAAGCCCAUCCUGAAUCUAAGGUUUACUUUGGAGAUGUGGGGUGCGGAUGCUGUGCCUUGGAUAGAGAAUCGUGAAAUUACCUGCAAGGGUAUUCACACGUGAAUCCAUAGAGGGUGUUAGACCCGUUAGCGGUUCAUUCUGUCCUGUAAGGUAUUGUAUCUACGAGUAGGAUUGUUUGAUAGUACAAUCUGAAUAUAGGGGAUAAACUUCCUCUAAGGCUAAAUAUAAUGCACGAGACCGUUAGUAAACAAGUACCGUGAGGGAACGUUGAAAAGUACUCUGGUAAGAGGGUGAAAAGAGUGUGAAAUUGCAUAGAUUUAAGCGUAACCAAGUAUCGACUCCUGUAGUGUUCUCUUUGGUUCAUUAUAGGUAUCCAACAACUCUGUUCCUGCUUUGCGGGGAUUGGGCUACACAUGCUAAUAAUGCCGUUGUAGAUGAGUUGUGAAUAUGAAGAUCUUUUUGCUGCGUUCUUGCUUCACGGCUUGACGCGGUACCGGGGUCCAAGUCUUCACGAUUUGUCGCAAAUAACCGGUCCUUUUGCAUAUUGUUGGUAUGGUAUUUGGGAACGUCCCGUCUUGAAACACGGACCAAGGAGUCUAGCAUAUCUGCAAGCCGUAGCAAUCUUAAUUGUGAAGGCGUAAUGAAAGUGUAUUGUGUUAACAGCACAAACCGGGCCUUUCGGUCUGAGUUAGAGUAAAUAUGCUAGUACCCGAAAGGUGAUGAACUAUGCCCGGACUGGUUGAAGCCAGGAGAAAUCCUGGUGGAGGACCUCCCGCGGUGCUGACGUGCAAAUCGCUCGUCCGAGCUGGGUAUAGGAGCGAAAGACUCAUCGAAUCGCCUAGUAGCUGGUUCCUGCCGAAAUUUCCCUCAGGAUAGCGGAGAUCUUCAAUUAGUUUUGCCAGGUAAAGCUAAUGAUUAGAGAUCUUGGAGGUUGAUAGCCUUCAAUCUAUUCUCAAACUUUAAAUGGGCAAUAUCCGGAGCUUACUUAAUGGAAGUACCGGUUUAAUAAGGAUCUCUAGUGGGCCGUGGUUUGGUAAGCAGAUCAGGUAAAGCGGGUUCAACCGUAAACAAUAAGGAAAGGCGUCCAAUACCGGUUUAAUACCCACUAAAGGGUGUUAAUUCAUGAAGACAGCGGGACGGUGGCCAUGGAAGUCGGUAUCCGCUAAGGAGUGUGUAACAACUCACCCGCCGAAUGAAUUAGCCCCGAAAAUGGAUGACGGCUAAGCCGGUAGCCGAUCCUUAGUCUCUCUUCUAGAUUUCUUGAAGAGAGGGUAGGCAGGCGUGAUGGUUGCUGCGAAGCUCUUGGGUGACUGGGAGUGGAGCGGCCAUCAGUGCAGAUCUUGGUAGUAGUAGCAACCAUUCUUACGAGUUUCAACUUCCCAUGAGCAAUCAUGGGUUCAAAAGCUUUGAAGGUCGUAGCGGACCAGGUUUCCCUACCUCUGGCGCUCAUGUAGGGGUUAGUCGGUCCUAACUUGGUGGUUAACACUAGGAAUAGUCCUAAAGUAGGAAUUACCAAGGAAAGGGAAUCAGGUUAAUAUUCCUGAACCUAAGUCAUGGAGGGUACUUCGGUAUCAAGUCUGACGCGGCGACGCGGAGUGUGGAUUAGAGCCAUGUGCGUGGAGCUCCGGUAGGGUUUUCUCUUCUCCUUAAUAACCAGCACUAGAUUAUGAAGCUUCGGCAGAUUAGCUGGUGGCGAGUAACAGAGGAGUUGCGUGCAGCAGAGAUUCUGUUAUUUGCGGGUUAGAAGGGCAAGUCUUAUGGCUUGUGAGGGUCUUCGCGUGCAUAAGUUAAAAUCUAAUUCAGCUCUGGACUCAAUCCUGUGACUUAGUCCGUACCGAAUUCCGCAUCAGGUGUCCGAGGCUAGCAGCCUCUGACCUAUUAGAGCAAUGUAGGUAAGGGAAGUCGGCAAAAUAGACUUGUUGCUUCGGUGGAAAGGUUGGCUCUUGUAGUGAUGUUCGUUGGCUGCUGUAUGAAACUUGGCGCCGCAAGGUUACGCAAGUGGGAGUGGACCUGGCCCUCGGGUUAGGAUAAGCUUUUACUUGUUGCUGAGCGUAGUGCAGUAGCAGGCUGAGCAAACUUGUUUGUGAGGUCGCACAAUGGACGUUUAG
rnacentral:rRNA from 1 species